UACAGAGGUCCCCAAAGCGUUUGUUCCGGGAUUCACUGGGCGUAAAAGGGUGCGCAGGUGGUUUGGCAAGUUUUGACGUGAAAGCCCCCGGGCUUAACCCGGGAAUGGCGUUUGAAAACUGCUUGAACUGGAGGGUUGGGAGGGGGACGUGGAAUUCUUGGUGUAGCAGUGAAAUGCGUAGAUAUCAAGAGGAACACCAGUGGCGAAGGCGAGUCCCUGGACAAUACCUGACACUGAGGCACGGAAAGCCCAAGGGAGCAAACAGG
rnacentral:rRNA from 1 species